GUUCUCUCACAGGUGCUUCUGAAGUUGCCAUUUGGAAGCAGCAGUUUCUCCUGAAAGGUGGAGAAGGCAACACCAAAGUUCAGAGAGGAGAAACAGCAUGAGAUCAGUCCUGUGGUGGCUUUGCUUUUUGCUCGAGAGAGGUACGGGUUGGAGUGGGAAACCAUUCCCAACGAGCAGCUUAUCUGCAGGCACCCCGCGUGAGAGAGCUUUCUGAUACAGGCAGGAGCCAUUCUCUGUCAGCUGCCCUUAAUGUGUUUGGGAGCGUUCUCACACACGUUUCAUUUAUUAGUCAGCCAUGUAUUCAUCCUCCCUCCAAAGGACGUGAACUCAGAACUGCGGAGGAGGCGAACGAUCUACAGGGGUCUGCUCCAUGCAUUGGUGCCUGUGAUGUGGGUCAGUGCAGUGAAAGCUCCUGGAGUGCAGAGCAGCCAGAUGAAUUUGGGAUAGCUGCGUAGGGAUAGUCCAAGAAUAAGGACAAUGCCAAUAGCACUGCGAGCUGGAUGCAGACAUCUGAGACUACCGUGUGUGCGGCCAGGCCUGACUUCCAAGUUAGCCUCAGCUAACUUCAGAAAAUGAAACAAACACGAUUUACUCCCAGAUUUAUUUGAAAACUGUCUUGAGUUCGAUGUCCUUAUCUGAGCUGGGAACCUGGCUCUAACCCAGGACUGCAUCACAACAGUUCCGUCUCAGUGCUGGGCGGUGGGUGAGCUUGAAGCUUCCUGCUCUGGAAGCUACAACAGACUGAGCCAAGCAGCCCCACAGGGACCUGCUGAGGACGCAGAGCUCGUGCUCAGCCCUCACCUCUUCCACACCUCUCCUUAAGCACAAGGCAGAGCACAUCUCCAGCCUGCAGAUCUCCAGGGAGAGUCAACAGCCUGUGUGAAACACCUCUUCUCCCUUUUAACUUCGUAAAGGAAACUAAAGAGCAGAUGGAGUGAGAAAUGGCCUCUACAGCUCCUACACCUGCGGACUGAGCAGUGAGUGAGAGCUGCCCCACGGCAGGGCAGCAGACACAGAAAUUACACACAGAACCCCCUCACCUCAACACCUCCAGCACGGCUUCCCCUGAAGGCUCCCCCCGCUUGGAGAGGCGUUUUUACAAAGUGUCUCUAUGGCUUUAUACUGACAGAAUUACUGUAAAAAUAAAUGACAUACACAGGAAUUCUGAAUUAGAAAAUAAUUAUUUCUGCAGAACGUAUCAAGAUUUCAUUUCAUUUCAUUCAAGCGUACUUAGGAAAGACACACAAUGAUUUACAGUUCCUAUCCUGUAAAAACUCCCCUGUCAAUUAACUGCUGGUGGAAAGGGGUUGCUGUCAGCCUUUGUGCACCUUAUUCAAUCACAAUGAUUUGUAAACCUGAUUUUGCAGACGUUUUUUACUAGGAUGUUUCCAUUCCCUAGAAUCAAACGCUAAUAAGUCUUAACUUCAAAUGCUGUGAUUUAGUCACGUUUUACACUUCAUUGUAAGACAUGGCAAAAGAAGAAGCCGUGCUUUUCUAACAAUAGUACAUAAUUCAUAAUGUAAUUCAUUUUAGAAAGAUUUCUUGCAAAUCUCAUCUGAUCUAUGUGAGAAACAAAGAUGAUGAUGGUGGUUUGACAGCUAAGAAAAAUGUUUCUUAUUAAUUUCUUUUUCUUUGGGGAAAAAAAAAAGCAGAAUUCAUUGAUGUUGGAGGCUAAAAGCAUCAUAUGCACAGAAGUUGUGGCAGUGAAUCACUAUCCUUCCUGAGACACGAAAUAAAUAGUGCCAUGUGCUACAGGUCAGUGGGCGCCGCUCCUGGAAGGAAAAGCAAAGGGAGAGGGCUGUGCUGCCCAUGAGUGGGUGAGUCACAGCAGGAGGAAAACAACAGUAUCUGAAGAAGCAGAUUUCAGGAGUCUGAUAUUGGGGUGAGAACAGAUGUGUUCUAUGUGUAAUUUCUUGACACGGCAGCAAAACGUAGCAAAUGGGAGACUUCUGAAAUGCACAAUGAUCAACUAAAGCUAAAAUUGUUCAGUUUCCCUUGAAGAAAUCAGUGAAUAAUACAGAUCUGGAAAUCAUAAGGCUGAGAACAUUUUUAUGCAUACUGCAUAACAAAAUAAACCCUUUACAUAAGACAGUAAUAAUGCCCAUUAAUGAAUAUACAUAUGGCAGAGAUUUUAAUUCCAUGCAUAUGAUUUAAUAAUUGCAGAAAAAAAAAAAAAACAUACAAAGAAGCAAAAAAACAAAACAAAAACCCACAUUAAAAAAACCCAACAACGUUGUCUAAGCAUAAUCAAAAUCCUUUUGCAUUGCACUUUAGAAGAGGAGUUCUGCAUCCAGCCUCAGGCUCCAGCAUCCCACGCACAGGGCCAAGCCCUGCACAACCAGGCAGGUUUGUGUCAUUUAUUUGCUGUCACUGUUUCUUGCUCCCAACAGUUCUACAUUGUCCCAGUAAUUAUUACUCCUUUCAUAUUUCUUCUUUUUGUACCUAAAACGUAUAUAUGAACUUCUCUGUUAAUGCUCACAGUUACUAUAAUGGUUAUUAUAAUGGUUUCAAGCAAACAGCUCUUGUUUAAAACAAACAAACAACAACAAAAAAAAAACAACAACAAAAAACCCUCUAAUGUACUGUAAGUAAAUA